rnacentral:rRNA from 1 species
GUAGUGACAAGAAAUACCGAUGCGGGACCCUACGGGUGCCGCGUUCGGAAUGAGUACGAUUCGAACCACCUAACGAGGAACGAUCGGAGGGCAAGUCUGGUGCCAGCAGCCGCGGUAAUUCCAGCUCCAAUAGCGUACGUUAAAGUUGCUGCAGUUAAAAAGCUCGUAGUUGAACGUUCGGGUUCCGCGGGACGGGGCCGCCCCGCGAGGGACGGCGCCGCCCCGGGGCUCGUGAUAUCUUAUCUCGCCGCCCGUCGCGAGGCGGACGGAGGGGAUGGAUGAGGUUACCUGGAAAAAAUCGGGGCGAUCUAGGCGGGCGAACCUCGCCAACGAACGAUCGGACAUGGGAUAACGGAAGAGGGCGUCGGCUCGGACUUCGUCGGUUCCUCGGGCCGAGGCACGUACGGUGAAUAGGGACGGUCGGGGCCGCCCGUACCGGGUCGUGAGAGGUGAAAGUUCUAGGAUCGACCCGAGACGAACUGCCGCGAAAGCAUUCGGCAAGGACGCUUUCAUUAAUCAAGAACGAAAGUCGGGGGAUCGAGACGAUCAGAUACCGUCGUAGU